rnacentral:lncRNA from 1 species
GCUGAGCUCUGAAAAAGUACAGUGAUGCAGAAGAGUGCUCUGUAUGUACUCGACCAGGGGACAUGCCUGAGGAGCACAUUAUGAUUUGCCACAGCAUGCUUGGGCUCACACUGCUGCUGCUGUCUCUGACGGCGAACCUCCACCUGGGCUUUGUUUGGGCAAAAAGAAAGCGAGAUGAUGCUUGGACGGCAGUACUUCUGCCAGCUGUUCUGCACUGGCUUUCACACCCAGUGAGUAGCUGAACCAGUGUUAUUUUGAUCAAGAAAGAUUUAUUAUUAGUUCAACAAGGUGUAGUGCCCUGGGAAACUCAAAAAUGUUUCCUUCAAGCUGUCAAAAUUGUAUAAAUUGUAUACAUGAUCGUACUUGACAGUCAUGGUGAAAUGCACCCAUGGACCCUGACCAAGUGCUUUGUACUCUUGUUUGCUUAGUGUUUCAUUGGGCAAGUUGUUAAACCUGAUGCAUGUUCUCCUAGUAAUGAGGUCAGCCUAUGGGCAUGUCCAGG